rnacentral:tRNA from 1 species
AGUUUUAUAGUUUAAUUAAAAUAUUAAUUUUGUAAAUUAAUGAUAACUUUUUUAUAGUUUACAACUA